AGCAGCGAGAGCAGAACGGAGAUAUUACGAGGCGUUAUACCAUCAAGGCAAGCAGGCGCAGACAGCGAGAGAGGAACGGUGACAAUACGAGGAACUAGCACGGCAACGACGGAAGCCAGAGAGGCAGCUUCAAAAACAAAUUGGGGGGGGGGGGGGGGGCUCACGGGGAGUGUGGUGGAGUCAGGUUUGGGACCUGAGCCAACUCCUCGUGCUUACCGUGGAAAGCUGAGGGGUGAACCAGAGCCAGUCAGGGAGACAAGUGAGGAACUCGACGCAAGAUUCCGGAGAGAGGUGGUGGCGGCAUUGAGAGCGCUGCAGAGCGGGCGUGCUGAGGAGCGCAACACCAGUCCGGUGUCAUAUGCACCAGUUUCACGCAUCUGCACUCGCUUGAGGGAGCGUGUGACCUGUCAGGCACCAUGUUUUGCGGUGAUACGCACAGUGUCUCCAGUGCGCAUUCACAGCCCAGUGUGUCCUGUGCCAGCGCCCCGCACAUGCCGGGCUAAAGUGAGCAUCCAGCCAGGAUGGAUUGUGCCAGCCCUACGCUCCAGACCUCCAGUGCGCCUCCACAGCCCAGUACACCCUGUGCCUGCUCCUCGUACUCGCCCUGAAGUGCGUGUCACCAGUCUGGCGCCACCUGUGCCAGCCCCACGCAUCAGGCCUCCAGUGCGCCUGCCCAGUCCGGGGUGUCCUGUUCCUGCUCCCCGCACUCGCCCCGAGGUGCGUGUCACCAGUCUGGCGCCACCUGUGCCAGCCCCACGCAUCAGGCCUCCAGUGCGCCUGCCCAGUCCGGGGUGUCCUGUUCCUGCUCCCCGCACUCGCCCCGAGGUGCGUGUCACCAGUCUGGCGCCACCUGUGCCAGCCCCACGCAUCAGGCCUCCAGUGCGCCUGCCCAGUCCGGGGUGUCCUGUUUCUGCUCCCCGUACUCGCCCUGAGGUGCGUGUUACCAGUCUGGCGCCACCUGUGCUAGCCCCACGCAUCAGGCCUCCAGUGUGCCUGCCCAGUCCGGGGUGUCCAGUUCCUGCUCCCCGUACUCACCCUGAGGUGUGUGUUACCAGUCUGGCACCAUCUGUGCCAGCCCCACGCAUCAGGCCUCCAGUGCGCAUUCCCAGUCCAGAGCUUCCGGCGACAGUUCCCAGUCCAGAGCAUCCGGCGAUGGCCCGCAGUCCGGAGCCUCCUGAGACGGCCCGCAGUCCGGAGCCUCCGGCGAUGAUCCUCGGUCCGGUGACACGAAAGCGGAGGGAUCAGCUAGUGGAGCGGGGGCUACGCCCCGAACCGGAGCCGCCUCCUAUGCUGGCGGAUAAGCAGGAUGUGAGGGUUCUUCGUCCCGCAACAGAACCACCUCCGAUGCAGGAGGAUCCACGGGAUGUGAAGGUUCUUCGUCCUGCACCAGAGCCGCGACCGACAUUAGACACCACCCUAACCCUCCCUGUUUUUUUGUUGUUGUUUCGGGUUGUGUGUUCAGAGUCUGCACCUUUGUGUGGGGGGGGGGGGGGGNNNNNNNNNNNNNNNNNNNNGUUGUGGGGGGGGGGGGGGUACUGUCACGUCCUGACCAUAGAAAUAUUUUAUUGUUCUAUGGUAGAGUAG
rnacentral:lncRNA from 8 species